CAAUCAAACCCGGAGAUAUCUCGUUCUCCCCGAAAUAGCUUUAGGGCUAGCGUCGCGCGUUCACCGCCGGAGGUAGAGCACCGGAUGGACGAGGGGGCUUCGCCGCCUACCGAAUCCAACCGAACUCCGAAUGCCGGCGGCCCAGAGCGCGGCAGUCAGAGCAUGUGGGCUAAGCUGUGUGCUCGAGAGGGAAACAGCCCGGACCGCCCGCUAAGGUCCCCAAGUUCCAGCCGAGUGGCAAAGGAUGUGCGUCCGCCCAGACAACCAGGAUGUUGGCUUAGAAGCAGCCAUCCAUUCAAAGAGUGCGUAACAGCUCACUGGUCGAGUGGACAUGCGCCGACAAUACACGGGGCUAAGCUGGACACCGAAGCGGCGGGAUUUUAAUUCAUUAGAAUCGGUAGGGGAGCUUCCCAUGGGCGGAGAAGCCGGAGGGCGACCGACGGUGGAGCGCAUGGGAGUGAGAAUGCUGGCAUGAGUAGCGAGAGACGAGAGAGUAACUCGUCCGCCGUGAACCCGAGGUUUCCUGGGCAAGGCUAAUCCUCCCAGGGUCAGUCGGGGGCUAAGGCGAGGCCGGUAGGCGUAGCCGACGCGCAGCAGGCAGACAUUCCUGCACCGCGCACGCGGCGCUACGACCGACGGGGCGACGGAUGGGGGUGGCUCGGCGGGGUUCUGGACGUCCCCGUGAUGGAGCGCGGCCCGCGGACCAGGGAAAUCCGGUCCGCAUUGAGGGCGAGGCUCCGGACGAAGCGACUGAGCGAAGCGAGUGAGCCCGAGGUCCCUAGAAAAACCCCUAGGCAGGCGCGUGCGCGCCCGUACCGCAAACCGACACAGGUGGGUGGGUAGAACAUACCGAGGCGAUCGGGUCAACCAUGGUCAAGGAACUCGGCACAAUGGCCCCGUAACUUCGGGAGAAGGGGUGCCCGCGCGUACGUGAACCGGCUUGCCCGGGGAGCGGAGGCGGGCCGCAGUGGAGAGGCCCAAGCGACUGUUUACCAAAAACACAGGACUCUGCAGAAGCCGCAAGGCGACGUAUAGGGUCUGACGCCUGCCCGGUGCCGGAAGGUCACGCGGAGGAGUUAGCGCAUCGCGCGAAGCCCCGAAGCCAAGCCCCGGUAAACGGCGGCCGUAACUAUAACGGUCCUAAGGUAGCGAAAUUCCUUGUCGGGUAAGUUCCGACCUGCACGAAAGGCGCAACGACUUGGGCGCUGUCUCGACCAUGGACCCGGUGAAAUUGCACUGGUCGUGAAGAUGCGACUUACCCGCGGAAGGACGGAAAGACCCCGUGAACCUUCACUGCAGCUUGGCAUUGGCCGCUGGUCCCGCGUGUAGAGGAUAGGCAGGAGGCAUCGAUCCGGAGGCGCCAGCCCCCGGGGAGCCGCCCUUGGAAUACUGCCCUCGCGCGACCGGCGUCCUAACCCGAGGCCGUCAACCGGCUCGGGGACCGUGCCAGGCGGGCAGUUUGACUGGGGCGGUCGCCUCCUAAAGGGUAACGGAGGCGCGCGAAGGUCCGCUCGGGACGGUCGGCAACCGUCCUUUUGAAUGCAAGAGUACAAGCGGGCUUGACUGCGAGGCCCACAAGCCGAGCAGGUGCGAAAGCAGGCUCUAGUGAUCCGGCGGCCCCGAGUGGGUGGGCCGUCGCUCAACGGAUAAAAGGUACUCCGGGGAUAACAGGCUGAUCUUGCCCAAGAGUCCACAUCGACGGCAAGGUUUGGCACCUCGAUGUCGGCUCAUCGCAUCCUGGGGCUGGAGCAGGUCCCA
rnacentral:rRNA from 1 species